AACGAACGCUGGCGGCAUGCCUAACACAUGCAAGUCGAACGAGACCUUCGGGUCUAGUGGCGCACGGGUGCGUAACGCGUGGGAACCUGCCCUUAGGUUCGGAAUAACUCCCCGAAAGGGGUGCUAAUACCGGAUAAUGUCUUCGGACCAAAGAUUUAUCGCCUUUGGAUGGGCCCGCGUUGGAUUAGCUAGUUGGUAGGGUAAAAGCCUACCAAGGCGACGAUCCAUAGCUGGUCUGAGAGGAUGAUCAGCCACACUGGGACUGAGACACGGCCCAGACCACUACGGGAGGCAGCAGUGGGGAAUAUUGGACAAUGGGCUAAAGGCUGAACCAGUCAUGCCGCGGGGGUGAUGAAGGCAUUAGGGGAGUAAAGCGCUUUUACCCGGGGUGAUCAUGACAGUACCGGGAGAAUAAGCGACGGCUAACUCCGUG
rnacentral:rRNA from 1 species